UCACUGAAGGCAACAAGGCCAGACUUGCUCGGCCUUCCAGUUUCUGCAAAAGAGCAAAAUUGAGGUUAAUGAAUUGUGUGUCCUGUAUUUUCCGCCAUGUGACAGUGCCAUUUUUCGAUGUCAGCCCUUCGUACCUUGUGUUUGGUUUGGAAUGUUUCAACAGCUGAACGUCUGAGGUACAAUCGAUCUUCAUGUUGGAUCAAGAAAGCCUUUGAAGUGGCUCAAUGUUAGCACUUCGGCUUCUCUGUAAUCGAUCAUUGAAACAACCCUAAACACUGGAAAUCACUGGAAAUCAAGAUGUGUCGUGAUAGAGAUAUGAACCCCACCCUCCCUCGUUGAGGCUUGGACCAUAAAGCCACACUACUAGAGCAGACUAUAAUACGUGUUCAUAAAAGGACUUGGGAGAUUGACCACCCAACCUCAGUGCAAAGAAAGAUUUAAUCUUACAAGACCCAUUCAACAGAAGUGAAGCCGAAGAAGCAUGGUAGAUAGUUGUUCCGAAGCGGAUUGUGUUCAACGGAUAAGAAAUCAAGAACACAAGGAAAUCGAGGUGACCAACUCCAAAAUUCCGAGGCAAGAUGGGGACUGCGACGAAG